CCUACGGGUGGCAGCAGUGGGGAAUAUUGCACAAUGGGGGAAACCCUGAUGCAGCGACGCCGCGUGAGUGAAGAAGUAUUUCGGUACGUAAAGCUCUAUCAGCAGGGAAGAAAAUGACGGUACCUGACUAAGAAGCCCCGGCUAACUACGUGCCAGCAGCCGCGGUAAUACGUAGGGGGCAAGCGUUAUCCGGAUUUACUGGGUGUAAAGGGAGCGUAGACGGCAGCGCAAGUCUGGAGUGAAAUCCCAUGGCUUAACCAUGGAACUGCUUUGGAAACUGUGCAGCUGGAGUGCAGGAGAGGGAAGGGGGAAUCCUAGGGUAGCGGGGAAAAGCGGAGAUAAUAGGAGGGAACCCAGUGGGGAAGGCGGCUUACUGGACUGGAACUGACGGUGAGGCUCGAAAGCGUGGGGAGCAAACAGGAUUAGAUACCCCUGGUAGUC
rnacentral:rRNA from 1 species